rnacentral:rRNA from 1 species
UGUCUCUUACCCAUGUCUUUUGAGUACUUACGUUUCCUCGGUGGGCUCGCCCGCCGGUUGGACAAUUUAAACCAUUUGCAGUUGCAAUCAGCGUCUGAAAAACAUAAUAGUUACAACUUUCAACAACGGAUCUCUUGGUUCUGGCAUCGAUGAAGAACGCAGCGAAAUGCGAUAAGUAGUGUGAAUUGCAGAAUUCAGUGAAUCAUCGAAUCUUUGAACGCACAUUGCGCCCCUUGGUAUUCCAUGGGGCAUGCCUGUUCGAGCGUCAUUUGUACCUUCAAGCUCUGCUUGGUGUUGGGUGUUUGUCUCGCCUUGCGCGUAGACUCGCCUUAAAACAAUUGGCAGCCGGCGUAUUGAUUUCGGAGCGCAGUACAUCUCGCGCUUUGCACUCAUAACGACGACGUCCAAAAGUACUUUUUACACUCUUGACCUCGGAUCAGGUAGGGAUACCCGCUGAACUUAAGCAUAUCAAUAAGCGGAGGAA